AUUGAACGCUGGCGGCAGGCCUAACACAUGCAAGUCGAACGAGUGGCGGACGGGUGAGUAAUGUCUGGGAAACUGCCUGAUGGAGGGGGAUAACUACUGGAAACGGUAGCUAAUACCGCAUACCAUCGGAUGUUCCCAGAUGGGAUUAGCUAGUAGGUGGGGUAAGGGCUCACCUAGGCGAAGAUCCCUAGCUGGGCUGAGAGGAGGACCAGCCACACGGGAACGGAGAAACGGUCCAGACUCCUACGAGAGGCAGCAGUGGGGAAUAUUGCACAAUGGGCGCAAGCCUGAUGCAGCCAUGCCGCGUGUAUGAAGAAGGCCUUCGGGUUGUAAAGUACUUUCAGCGGGGAGGCGUUACCCGCAGAAGAAGCACCGGCUAACUCCGUGCCAGCAGCCGCGGUAAUAC
rnacentral:rRNA from 1 species